GGUCACUGCUAUCGGUGUUCGUCUAAGCCAUGCGAGUCAUAUGUUCUUCGGAACAUGGCGUACUGCUCAGUAACACGUGGAUAACCUGCCCUUGGGUCCGGCAUAACCCCGGGAAACUGGGGAUAAUUCCGGAUAACGCACAUAUGCUGGAAUGCUUUUUGCGUAAAAUGGAUUCGUCUGCCCAAGGAUGGGUCUGCGGCCUAUCAGGUAGUAGUGGGUGUAAUGUACCUACUAGCCUACGACGGGUACGGGUUGUGAGAGCAAGAGCCCGGAGAUGGAUUCUGAGACAUGAAUCCAGGCCCUACGGGGCGCAGCAGGCGCGAAAACUUUACAAUGCGGGAAACCGUGAUAAGGGGACACCGAGUGCCAGCAUCCUAUGCUGGCUGUCCGGGUGUGUAAAAUACACCUGUUAGCAAGGGCCGGGCAAGACCGGUGCCAGCCGCCGCGGUAACACCGGCGGCCCGAGUGGUGAUCGUGAUUAUUGGGUCUAAAGGGUCCGUAGCCGGUUUGGUCAGUCCUCCGGGAAAUCUGACAGCUCAACUGUUAGGCUAUCGGAGGAUACUGCCAGACUUGGAACCGGGAGAGGUAAGAGGUACUACAGGGGUAGGAGUGAAAUCUUGUAAUCCCUGUGGGACCACCUGUGGCGAAGGCGUCUUACCAGAACGGGUUCGACGGUGAGGGACGAAAGCUGGGGGCACGAACCGGAUUAGAUACCCGGGUAGUCCCAGCCGUAAACGAUGCUCGCUAGGUGUCAGGCAUGGCGCGACCGUGUCUGGUGCCGCAGGGAAGCCGUGAAGCGAGCCACCUGGGAAGUACGACCGCAAGGCUGAAACUUAA
rnacentral:rRNA from 1 species